ACUGUGCCCUCCCCUCCCCUACCGACUUCUGGUGUGCUGCCGCUAAGCAAGAGUCUGCACAAGUGCUCCUGGAGUGCACAAAGGAGCCAUCAGUUUCACUCUCCAUCUGCGAAGCAAUGGACUGGAAGGAAGUCCAGUCUUGGGCCUGAGGAGUUGAUGGGGCAGAGACCACAGACCCGAAU
rnacentral:lncRNA from 1 species